AAACGGAGGGUGCAGGCGUUAUUCGGAAUCACUGGGCGUAAAGGACGCGUAGGCGGGUUGGCAAGUCAGAUGUGAAAUCCUACAGCUUAACUGUAGAACUGCAUUUGAAACUGCUAACCUAGAGUAUGGGAGGGGGAGAUGGAAUUAGUGGUGUAGGGGUAAAAUCCGUAGAUAUCACUAGGAAUACCGAAAGCGAAGGCGAUCUCCUGGAACAUAACUGACGCUAAGGCGUGAAAGCGUGGGGAGCAAACAGGAUUAGAAACCCCUGUAGUCC
rnacentral:rRNA from 1 species